GAUGAGCGCUGGCGGUAUGCCUAACACAUGCAAGUCGUACGCCUCACUUCGGUGAGGAGUGGCGGACGGGUGAGUAACACGUUAGUACCUGCCCCAAACGUAGGGGAAGUAACUGCCCGAAACGGGUAAGGCUAAUACCCCACUAGUCUCCCGGUUUAUCCGGAGUAAAGAUUUAUCGCUUUGGGAGGGGCUUGCGUUUGAUUAGCUAGUUGGUGAGGGUAAUGGCCCACCAAGGCGACGAUCAAUAGCUGGAUCGAGAGGUUGACCAGCCACACUGGGACUGAGAUACGGCCCAGACUCCUACGGGAGGCAGCAGUGAGGAAUCUUCCACAAUGGGCGAAAGCCUGAUGGAGCAAUACCGCGUGCAGGAUGAAGCUUUUCGGAGUGUAAACUGCUUUUCUGAAGGAAGAUUAUGACGGUACUUCAGGAAUAAGGAUCGGCUAACUACGUG
rnacentral:rRNA from 1 species